GGUGUUGGACUUCAAGGGGAGAAGAGAGGGAGAAGAGAGAGGGGGCGUGGGGAGCUUCUAAGGGAGGUGUGGGCUGCUGGAAUUCAGAGCUAAAGAGCCUUAGGGAAGGUCUCUUUAAAUAGGUAUAAGAUUUGAAUCUUGUUCAAAACUAAAUUGUCACUUAAUACAAGUCCUACUUGCAUUAGGAAUCCUUAUUCCUUUAGUUAUUUAAUCCCCGUUAAGAGAUCCUUUAGGUGCCAACUUUUAAAACUAUUGCACCCACAAAUACACAUGCCACAUGGCUGCUAUGGGAUGCCUCAAUC
rnacentral:lncRNA from 1 species